rnacentral:rRNA from 1 species
GACGAACGCUGGCGGCGUGCUUAACACAUGCAAGUCGAACGGAAAGGCCCUGCUUUUGUGGGGUGCUCGAGUGGCGAACGGGUGGGUAACACGUGAGUAACCUGCCCUUGACUUUGGGAUAACUUCAGGAAACUGGGGCUAAUACCGGAUAGGAGCUCCUGCUGCAUGGUGGGGGUUGGAAAGUUUCGGCGGUUGGGGAUGGACUCGCGGCUUAUCAGCUUGUUGGUGGGGUAGUGGCUUACCAAGGCUUUGACGGGUAGCCGGCCUGAGAGGGUGACCGGCCACAUUGGGACUGAGAUGCGGCCCAGACUCCUACGGGAGGCAGCAGUGGGGAAUAUUGCACAAUGGGCGGAAGCCUGAUGCAGCAACGCCGCGUGCGGGAUGACGGCCUUCGGGUUGUAAACCGCUUUCGCCUGUGACGAAGCGUGAGUGACGGUAAUGGGUAAAGAAGCACCGGCUAACUACGUG